rnacentral:rRNA from 1 species
GCAACUCGACUGCAUGAAGUCGGAAUCGCUAGUAAUCGCAGAUCAGCAAAGCUGCGGUGAAUACGUUCCCGGGCCUUGUACACACCGCCCGUCACACCACGGGAGUCGGUCGCGCCUGAAGCCGGUGGCCUAUCAGUAAUGGGGGAGCCGUCUAUGGCGAGAUUGGUAACUGGGGUGAAGUCGUAACAAGGUAUC